GACGAACGCUGGCGGCGUGCUUAACACAUGCAAGUCGAACGAAAAGAGGGAAAGAGCUUGCUCUUUCCGGAAUUGAGUGGCAAACGGGUGAGUAACACGUAAACAACCUGCCUUCAGGAUGGGGACAACAGACGGAAACGACUGCUAAUACCGAAUAAGUUCCAAGGGCCGCAUGGCCCAUGGAAGAAAAGGUGGCCUCUACCUGUAAGCUAUCGCCUGAAGAGGGGUUUGCGUCUGAUUAGCUGGUUGGAGGGGUAACGGCCCACCAAGGCGACGAUCAGUAGCCGGUCUGAGAGGAUGAACGGCCACACUGGAACGGAGACACGGUCCAGACUCCUACGGGAGGCAGCAGUGGGGAAUCUUCCGCAAUGGGCGAAAGCCUGACGGAGCAACGCCGCGUGAGUGAUGACGGCCUUCGGGUUGUAAAACUCUGUGAUCCGGGACGAAAAGGCAGAGUGCGAAGAACAAACUGCAUUGACGGUACCGGAAAAGCAAGCCACGGCUAACUACGUG
rnacentral:rRNA from 1 species